rnacentral:lncRNA from 1 species
CCUCACCUGCGGGCCCUGAGCGUCGCUCCCAGCUCCCGGCGAGGCGGGCGCUUUCCGCUUCCUGCUAACUACUUUCCGGGCCAUAGUGGGCAGCGCCGCCGCGGCCCCGCAGCCACAUGGGGCGGGGGAAGCGAAGGAUAGCAGGACGGCGGGUCAUAUACUGGGCCCCGGGGCCGCGCACCUUAGUGCGCCCGGCCCGGAAAAUGGCCCGGACAGGACGGCGAGCGGCUAGAACCAAAACACCCCCUCCCCCUUGCUCGCGCGCCGUCACCCUUGCGCAGCCGCACUUCGGAUAGCGUCGCCACGGAAACACCGCCGGAUCACCCUUGCCAACAUUUUUGGAAGAUCCUGAAGGAAUAUGACUGCCAGCCUUCGCUUUCCUCAAGCAAACAAACCCUCUGAGGAAGCAGGAUGCUCUUGCUUGGGGCUGAUUGGCCUCAGGCUGUGGUGCCCAGUUACCUGCUGGUCA